UACGUAGGGGGCAAGCGUUGUCCGGAUUUAUUGGGCGUAAAUAGCGUGUAGGCGGCCACACAGGUCAGCUGUGAAAACUCGAGGCUCAACCUCGAGACGUCGGUUGAAACCGUAUGGCUAGAGUCCGGAAGAGGAGAGUGGAAUUCCCGGUGUAGCGGUGAAAUGCGCAGAUAUCGGGAAGAACACCCGUGGCGAAGGCGGCUCUCUGGGACGGUACUGACGCUGAGACGCGAAAGCGUGGGGAGCGAACAGG
rnacentral:rRNA from 1 species